AAAAAGGAUCGACACAUGAUCAAAACCUUAAAAUAAACAAGAUCUAAUCUAAGAUCUUAAAAAAUUCAAAAUUUAUUUCAAAAUCUAAGGAUAAAAUAAAGCAAAUAUAACUUUAUAGAGAAGAAAAUUUCAUUGAAUAAACUUGAAAACUUAUAUAUAAUGAAAAUACAAUGGGUUUUUAUAAAAUUCUAAAUCCUAAUCUAAGUAGAAAUA
rnacentral:misc_RNA from 1 species